GGGUGGCUUCCCAUCACACACCCUGCCAUGCCAGCCCACCUCCCAGAGGACAGCAGACACAGACAGGCAGAAGGAAGACAGCCACA
rnacentral:miRNA from 1 species